rnacentral:rRNA from 1 species
UAGGGAAUCUUCGGCAAUGGACGAAAGUCUGACCGAGCAACGCCGCGUGAGUGAAGAAGGUUUUCGGAUCGUAAAACUCUGUUGUUAGAGAAGAACAAGGACGUUAGUAACUGAACGUCCCCUGACGGUAUCUAACCAGAAAGCCACGGCUAACUACGUGCCAGCAGCCGCGGUAAUACGUAGGUGGCAAGCGUUGUCCGGGUUUAUUGGGCGUAAAGCGAGCGCAGGCGGUUUCUUAAGUCUGAUGUGAAAGCCCCCGGCUCAACCGGGGAGGGUUAAUUGCAACUGGGAGACUUGAGAGCAGAAGAGGGGAGUGGAAUUCGAUGUGUAGCGGUGAAAUGCGUAGAUAUAUGGAGGAACGCCAGUGGCGAAGGCGGCUCUCUGGUCUGUAACUGACGCUGAGGCUAGAAAGCGUGGGGAGCAAACAGG